GUAUUUAUGACAGACUAAAAAUCUUACUUAUGUGCAUGCCCGGGAAUCCUUUCAUUUCAUUAAACAACUAUACAGGUCACAUUUUUCCAUCACAGAUCAAUUGCUAACUUUUCAUUCAUCUCUAUAUUCACGAACAAAUACUAUUGCUACCCUGACUGCAUUGUGAUCAUGCAACUAGUUCUUAAAUCGUAUUCAAAUGUCAAAUGCCACGCAAAAGAGUCAAUAUUCUUCUGAAGAAAACAUGAUCAGCAACACCAGCAGAUGCUAGAAAUCCAUCAGAUUGGCAAUUACAAAUCAUGCACAAGCCAAAGAGAACACGCAUUUAACAAGCUUCGGCUUUUAUAUCAAUACAUGCUAACUUUGAUCUUUCACACUUCUGCACAACAGGAUGGAAGAUGUGCUGAGACAGAUGAUGUUCUCCCAGAUGGCUUCCACGUGAAAAAGGGGGACGACAUUAAUUACUUGGCUUACUCAAUGAGAAGAAUGCAUAACAUAUGGGGAGAAAAUGCCAAGGGUUUCAAACCUGAAAGAUGGUUGAAGGAUGGAAUUUUCCAAAAAGAAUCACCUUUUAAAUUUGUUGCAUUUCAUGCUGGUCCUAGGAUCUGCCUCGGGAAGGAUUUCGCUUAUCACCAGAUGAAAAUAGUUUCAAUAGCUCUCCUUCGCUUCUUCCGCUUUAGAUUAGCUUAUGAAACUUGACCUGUAACCUACAAGGUCAUGUUCACUCUUCACAUCGACAAUGGCUUACAUCUUCGUGCUGUUCCCAGAUUGGCUACAUAAGAGCUGGACUGUUAAUGAGUAUUGUCCAUCGCGACAUAUGGAUUUCCAAUGUUGGAUGCUGGCAGUUUUUCCUGAUAAGUAAGCUUGUGCACUACAGGAUCUUACUAUUGCAUGUAAAGGUUGGAAUAUUAAGGUGCUCUGCUUAAAUCCCAUAUGUAAUUUGAAGUCAUAAGUUCGUCA